UUAUAUGGCAGUAUCAACCUGGGCACGUAUGAUUUCAUCUAAUCUCAGAGGCUAAGCAGAGUUGGGGCUGGUUAUCGCCUGGGACAACUACCGUAAGUUGGAAGCUACAUGCU
ensembl:rRNA 5S_rRNA 5S ribosomal RNA